GUUGUAUGGUUAAGUGACUAAGCGUACACGGUGGAUGCCUUGGCAGUCAGAGGCGAUGAAAGACGUAGUAACUUGCGAUAAGCCCAGAUUAGGUAGUAACAACCAUUUGAGUCUGGGAUUUCUGAAUGGGGAAACCCACGUGCAUAAGCACGUAUCCUUACCUGAAUACAUAGGGUAAGGAGGCGAACCGGGGGAACUGAAACAUCUAAGUACCCCGAGGAAAAGAAAUCAACCGAGAUUCCGAAAGUAGCGGCGAGCGAAAUUGGACUAGCCCUUAAGCUUUACACGCGUUAGACGAACGGUCUGGAAAGUCCGACGAUACAGGGUGAUAGUCCCGUAGUUGACGACGUGUGUUCAGUGAAAUCGAGUAGGGCGGGACACGUGAUAUCCUGUCUGAAUAUGGGGGGACCAUCCUCCAAGGCUAAAUACUACUGACUGACCGAUAGUGAACCAGUACCGUGAGGGAAAGGCGAAAAGAACCCCUGUGAGGGGAGUGAAAUAGAACCUGAAACCGUGUACGUACAAGCAGUAGGAGCAGGCUUUGUCCUGUGACUGCGUACCUUUUGUAUAAUGGGUCAGCGACUUAUAUUCAGUGGCAAGGUUAACCAUCUAGGGGAGCCGUAGGGAAACCGAGUCUUAACUGGGCGUUCAGUCUCUGGAUAUAGACCCGAAACCAGGUGAUCUAGCCAUGGGCAGGUUGAAGGUUGAGUAACAUCAACUGGAGGACCGAACCGACUAAUGUUGAAAAAUUAGCGGAUGACUUGUGGCUAGGGGUGAAAGGCCAAUCAAACCUGGAGAUAGCUGGUUCUCCCCGAAAGCUAUUUAGGUAGCGCCUCGGACGAAUACUACUGGGGGUAGAGCACUGUUAAGGCUAGGGGGUCAUCCCGACUUACCAACCCUUUGCAAACUCCGAAUACCAGUAAGUACUAUCCGGGAGACACACGGCGGGUGCUAACGUCCGUCGUGGAGAGGGAAACAACCCAGACCGCCAGCUAAGGUCCCAAAUUACUACUAAGUGGGAAACGAUGUGGGAAGGCUCAGACAGCCAGGAUGUUGGCUUAGAAGCAGCCAUCAUUUAAAGAAAGCGUAAUAGCUCACUGGUCGAGUCGGCCUGCGCGGAAGAUGUAACGGGGCUAAGUAGUAAACCGAAGCUGCGGCAAUAUACUUUUGUAUAUUGGGUAGGGGAGCGUUCUGUAAGCGGUUGAAGGUGUGUGGUAACGCAUGCUGGACGUAUCAGAAGUGCGAAUGCUGACAUGAGUAACGAUAAAGGGGGUGAAAAACCUCCUCGCCGGAAGACCAAGGGUUCCUGUCCAACGUUAAUCGGGGCAGGGUAAGUCGACCCCUAAGGCGAGGCCGAAAGGCGUAGUCGAUGGGAAACGGGUUAAUAUUCCCGUACUUCUUACAAUUGCGAUGGGGGGACGGAGAAGGCUAGGUGGGCCUGGCGACGGUUGUC
rnacentral:rRNA from 1 species